GGAAGAUAACAUGCUAACUCUCUCUCUCUCAAAUCGAAGACAGACGCCUCCUCUCUUCUUCCCCUCCCCUCCCCUCUCCUCCCUCACUCUCUCGAUCGUCCCUAGCCACUCCGACACACCACCACCGCCACGAGCGGCAGAACCGCACCUCUUAGCACCACCAGCGGCGCCACUCCCACCACCAGCGCACCACCACGAGGUAUCUCUCUCUCUCUCGAGGAAGGGCUAACCCAAGUGUUCUAUCAGUUGGAAUUCGGAGACCGCGGUGAAUUACAAGUGGCUUGGGCUUGGUUUCAGAUCUAGGCCUGUUGCGAUUUGAAUCUGUCUUGGAUUCUAAGGAGCAAGGGAACUUUCUAAAUGGAAAGGGAAGGCCAUCUGUGUAGCCAAGGGAAAGAAAUCAAUGUUGGAUGGUGAUUUGGAGAAUACUAUAUCAGAAGAGGAAGGUAGACUAAUGAGGAAGAGGAAAAAUAGAAGUGGAAAAGAAAGCGCGAGCACGAAGAGUAGCGGGUGCCUUAAUGAAGAGGUCUCAAAAUCGAUCGUUGUUAUUAAUGGUUUAAUUGCGGGCAUGGAGACCGCUUGAGGGUUUUUGAUCGGAAAAGGCUUGACCUUUGAGAGGCAGAAAAGGAGGUUGUAGCCGCCAUUGGAGCUGUACGCUGCAGCAGCUGUGGAGGACAGCUUGAACUUGAGAGGCAACGAGGUGCACAGAAGUGAAAUGGAAGAAAAGUGAAGGACACAGUGGAAGGAAAGAGUAUGUCGAAUCUCGAUGCUUCAGAUUCGUAAGAAUUCCCUUAUUAUGCAGAGCACUAGCUGGUGUGCUUAUAUAUGCUCUUAUGUUGUUAAAUGCAGAGCACUAGCUGGUGUGCUUAUAUCUACUCUUAUAUUGUUAAAUGCAGAGCACUGGCUGGUGUGCUUAGAUUUUUUUCUGAUUUCCUUGAUGCAGCUACUUGGUUUUAACUUUUUACAUGGUAUUUAAUGGAAUUCCAUAAGCAAAUUGAUAA